rnacentral:misc_RNA from 1 species
GAUGAAGAACGCAGCGAAAUGCGAUAAGUAAUGCGAAUUGCAGAAUUUCCGUGAGUCAUCGAAUCUUUGAACGCACAUUGCGCCCACUGGUAUUCCGGUGGGCAUGCCUGUUCGAGCGUCAUUAUCCUCCCUCAAACCCCGGGUUUGGUGUUGGACCCAAGUUGUGUGAACAACUGGUCUCAAAGACAAUGACGGCGUCCGUGGGACCCUCGGUGCAACGAGCUUUUAGGAGCACGCAUCGAGUUGCAAGGACCUUCCGGGCCGGUCUCCUUUACCAUUUUACAAGGUUGACCUCGGAUCAGGUAGGAAUACCCGCUGAACUUAAGCAUAUCAUAAGCGGAGGA